rnacentral:rRNA from 1 species
UACGAAGGGGGCUAGCGUUGCUCGGAAUCACUGGGCGUAAAGGGUGCGUAGGCGGGUCUUUAAGUCAGGGGUGAAAUCCUGGAGCUCAACUCCAGAACUGCCUUUGAUACUGAGGAUCUUGAGUUCGGGAGAGGUGAGUGGAACUGCGAGUGUAGAGGUGAAAUUCGUAGAUAUUGGGAAGAACACCGGUGGCGAAGGCGGCUCACUGGCCCGUAACUGACGCUCAUGCACGACAGCGUGGGGAUCAAACAGG